AUGUUAGUUUGUGACUGCUCUGGCCAUUUUUUUUUUUUUUUUUUUUUUUUCUUUGGGGAUUUUAGGAAAUUGCUAGGCUGUUGCUUGGAUCUGCAUCUCGGAACACUGGCCCCGGACUCCUGGCUGCCUCCGCCUGCGCCUGGUGGCGUGGCCGGCAUCACACUCCUGGGGGUGUCCUUCCUGGAGGAGGAGAGCAGUGUGGUGAGUGUGGGCGGGAUGUGGGUUUCCCUGUGGAGCAGGGGCUCCGGACUCGGGGGGCCCACUGCGCUGCGGCGAGGGGCAGGGAGGAAGGCGUGGGGCUGUGUUGGCCCUCAGACUGGGCAGGGCUGUGGGGUUUUGGAUGGAUUGGACGUGGGGGCACGAGUGUGUGUCCGGAGCAUCUGUGGGUGUGCCGAGCUCCCAGGGAAGGGGCACAGGGCGCGUGCGGCCAGUGGUGGCGAGCUCUGUCCUGGCUGCCCCCACCUGGGAGCUGUCACGGCAGGUGGUGGGUGUGGGGUUGCAGCCCAGGGGUUCGGUGGUAGAGCUUUCUCUUUGAGUCUCAUCAGCCCGGAUGUGGCAUUUAAGCCAGAGGACCAGGGACACCUGUGGGGAGGUAGAAGGCACGUGUGGUCUGAGGCCUGGCCUUGCCAGCAGCAGGGGCAAGAGGGAGCAGAGGAGACGGCGGGGAACUUCCAGGGAGGACAGCGUCAGAGAGCAGAUGCCUGGGAGGCCAGAGGUGUGCCAGGCGGAGCAGAGGCCACUUGUUCCAGAAUCUUUGCUCAAAACCACAACUCAUGUGGGAUCCAGCCUGGGGGUCACAGGCCCCGUGACCACUGUGCCUUAAACUCACCUGCUCUGAGAAACUCGAGGCACGUUUCUAACUCCAGAAGGCACCCGAUGGGCUUGAAGACGCAGGGAGCCGACGUGAAGCGUUUGUCAACGCCAAGGGCCUGGCUGGUGGGCAGUCGGCACCAAGGCUGGCCCUGGACACAAUGUGCCCGUUUGGAGAGCUGGAAACCGUUUCUGCAGUUCCAAGGCCCUGCUGUGCCAGCCAGCUGGGGCCUCAGGGCUGUGCGCUCAGCCGCACAGGCACGGAGGCUUCAGGUCGGCCGGCAGGACGCCCCCACGUCAGUGUGA
rnacentral:lncRNA from 1 species